rnacentral:rRNA from 1 species
GUUAGCGACCAUAGCGAAGAGGGUAAACCCGAUCUCAUUCCGAACUCGGAAGUUAAUCUCUUCAGCGAUAUAGCUUGUACUAGAUUUUGUCUGGGAAGGCUGUGACGUUGCUGACC